UACGAAGGGGGCUAGCGUUGCUCGGAAUCACUGGGCGUAAAGGGUGCGUAGGCGGGUCUUUAAGUCAGGGGUGAAAUCCUGGAGCUCAACUCCAGAACUGCCUUUGAUACUGAGGAUCUUGAGUUCGGGAGAGGUGAGUGGAACUGCGAGUGUAGAGGUGAAAUUCGUAGAUAUUCGCAAGAACACCAGUGGCGAAGGCGGCUCACUGGCCCGAUACUGACGCUCAUGCGCGAAAGCGUGGGGAGCAAACAGG
rnacentral:rRNA from 1 species